GAGUUUGAACCUGGCUCAGGAUGAACGCUGGCGGCGUGCCUAACACAUGCAAGUCGAGCGAAGCGAUUUUGAGGAAGUUUUCGGAUGGAAUCGAAAUUGACUUAGCGGCGGACGGGUGAGUAACACGUGGGUAAUCUGCCUUAUACAGGGGGAUAACAGUUAGAAAUGACUGCUAAUACCGCAUAAGCGCACGGGGACGCAUGUUUCUGUGUGAAAAACUCCGGUAGUAUAAGAUGAGCCCGCGUCUGAUUAGCUGGUUGGUGGGGUAACGGCCUACCAAGGCGACGAUCAGUAGCCGGCCUGAGAGGGUGAACGGCCACAUUGGGACUGAGACACGGCCCAAACUCCUACGGGAGGCAGCAGUGGGGAAUAUUGCACAAUGGGGGAAACCCUGAUGCAGCGACGCCGCGUGAGUGAAGAAGUAUUUCGGUAUGUAAAGCUCUAUCAGCAGGGAAGAAAAAAGACGGUACCUG
rnacentral:rRNA from 1 species